UCUUUUACCACUUGCUCUAGGGACGGUCGGUAAUGCCACUGAUCUUUUUGGGUCCUCCAAAGCAAUUUCAAAUCUUGGAAUUUUGGACUCGAAUCCAAACCACACGACCCCAGAAUCAGUCAACUACGAAGCGUCACGAUCAUAUCUACCGUGCGUUACGAAUAAAGAUGCAUGUGGGGGUAUCUUUUACCAAAAAUGGUUCGUAUAGUAGUUUUAUUUAUUUGGUACCUUUUUGACUCGUAAUUGUUAUUAUACAACAUUGAAAUGAACCCCAUAGAUUUGGGGAUCUCUCCACCCCAAAUGUAUGAUAUUUUCUAAAUUAUGUAAGUUAUGCGGCUCGGUUCAAUUUUAUAAAAUAUUAAGGGCUAAUUACAUCACUA